rnacentral:rRNA from 1 species
UACGUAGGGGGCUAGCGUUGUCCGGAAUCAUUGGGCGUAAAGAGCGCGUAGGCGGCUGGAAUAGUCCGGUGUGAAAUCCACAGGCUUAACCUGUGAAUGCCGCUGGAAACUGUCUGGCUAGAGUCCGGAAGGGGCGAGUGGAAUUCCUGGUGUAGCGGUGAAAUGCGCAGAUAUCAGGAGGAACACCAAUGGCGAAGGCAGCUCGCUGGGACGGUACUGACGCUGAGGCGCGAAAGCGUGGGGAGCGAACAGGAUUAGAUAC